CACGUGGGUGGAGGAGUUGCUGUGGGACAGGAGCAGGUGGAGCAGGUGGAUGCACCAGCUUCUCGCUGGAUGUGAUGCCUUCAGUGGGCUGAGGAGCAGUGAUGUGAUGUCUGCCGGUGACCUCUGACCCUGCGGCCCGCAGGGGCCCAAACCUGACCCAGAGGAGGGCGGAUGAAGCGCCCGCACCGCGAACCCCGUGUUACCAACGGCUGCUGGGACGGUUAGGCUGGACUGUGGCGCUCCAGCUGUCCCCGGUUCAGCCAUGGAUUAGAUCACUGCGUCCCAGAUCGACUUAAGCCUGACGAUGCAGUCAACUGGCAGAACCUUUGUGCAGCCGCUUGUUCGUACAGUAUUUUUGAGUGUUUCUGACCUUCAGGGAGCCGUAGAGCGUUCAGAGCUGCUGCAGAGAGACAGUCCUUCACAGCCUGACCUGAGAUCAGGGUUUCACGUCAGGCCGAUCUCCUCGGGCUGCUCCCCUCCCGCCUAACCGAGGUGGGAUUUGUCUCUCGUGUCCCUGUCGAGACACGUUGAACUGAUUCGGUCUGCGGCCGGAUGGCAGACUGACCCUGGAUCAGAUCCACCAGGGUUUGUGAACUAGAUUUUAGUUUUGUCCCUGCCAGGUGUGUACAGGUAUAGUAGGGCCGUUUACCACAAACACACACACGCAUGCGGCCGUCAUCAAAAACCCCUGAAGUGGCAUCAACUGUCAGAUCAAUGGACAGAAUCGUAUGAUCAAAAGGAAAAAAUAACAGUGUUCAGUCCGCAGUAUUAAAUACAUAUUCAGUUUCCUGUGAAUCUAAAACUGAGCAGCAGCGAAACUUGACAUUUAAGAAGCUAAAAAACAGACUUUGUUCUUGAGAAAUAACUUAGUGAUGGAUUACUCGACUGUGAGGUGUUUUACCUGUUUGUUGUAUCGGCACUUUGUUUACCGCAAACAUAGAAAUGUAUAAAAAGCAGCGCCUGUAACCAGCGCUGGUAGUUCCUGAUUAAACCAUCAUUUCUUGUAUUUUGUUUAAGUUCUUGUGUUCAGACAACAUUUAACCACUUUUGCUUCUUUUGUUGAAUGAAAAAAGGUUUUUUUUAAUGAAAGAAAAACCUGUUUUUUAAGUCAAAGUGUCGAAGUCGGACCUGAAACGUUUCUGUCAAACGUAAGAAACAUAGAUGAAUACAUAGUUUAUUAUGUCUGACAGUAACAGAGCUGCACUCAUGCCAGCGGCAUGCGAGCACAUAGGACUAAUACUAACGAAUUCAGAGGAAUGUGAAGUGAUGUGAGAGGAGGCGGCAGAACGAGGCUCAGCAAACAGAACUGGUUUCAUUAUGUGAAAAGAAAUUCUUUGAAUAUUUGUUGUGAAAGCAGAUCUGGAGGAGGAGGAGGAGGAGGAGGACUGUGGAAGUUAAAGUGGUAUUCAUCAGAAAGAUCUGGACGUCCUCCUCCUCCCCCCCCCCUCCCUGUGGACCUUCAGGUUCAGAUACCUACUACAAGAAGAAGAAGCUUUUGUUUGAAUAUUUCCCAAAACGAUAGAAAUCAGUAGUUUGUUUGCACUUUACUUCAUUCAUGCUUAUUCUAAACAACGUGAUGCCACACAUGAGAUCGGCGUAACGCCGUCAUCUCUUUUCCUAAUGUUCAGCCUCACCUCCGAUCCUUUGAGCCACAUCCAGUACAGUCGGCCUGAUAACUGCCUGUGUUCACGAGCGAUUGAUCUGCUGAUCAGUUUUUACUUUAGUGUAUGAAAUGCCCGCAGUGAGGCUUUUCACUUCGCUCGUUUUGUCUAAAAGGAUAUUCAGUUUCUCAUCACGUGACCGAGAAAAGCAGCAAGUCCUCUCGUUUUGAGAAGCUCGAACCACAGAUUAUUCGGUGGUUUUGCUUGAAAAAUGACUGAAACGAUUGAUCAAUCAUCAAAAUAGAUAUCCUAAUCAAUGAACUGAGUAGUCGCUGCAGCUGCAGAGUGAAGUGUAUGUAUAGUGAGAGAACAGUUUUGAGUGUUGCGUCACCCCGCCGGUGCGAGCGCUGCAGCCGGCUCCGCAGACGGUCGGACACAAAGGCUUCUUUCAGCAGCAGGUCGCCUCUGUUGUGGCGCUGUUGCCACUGUUGCCAGGUGUGUCAGGUGUGUCAGCUCGUGAACGACAGUUCAACACAUGACGAUGACAUCACAGCCUCACGUUCAGGACGGGUCGCUGUGAUCGGGGUCAAAGGUCAGAAUCUCAUAUCGUAGGAGAGAAGCACCCGCUCGGACAACAAAUUGACUUGACUGUUUCUGUCAGUGUGCGGCCGUUUUCUCCGAUAACUGUACAUCACUUCCUGAAACACCUUUUAUUUGUCUCGACAGGUAGAGUCGGUCAGCAGGUAACAACCUUAAACGACUCGUUUGCUGCUGAAAUCAGUUUGUUUUCUGACAAAUUCAACUGAAAUAUAAAAUACAGAAACUGCAUUUCUCACCACAACAGCCAUGUAAGAAAUAAUUAAUGUUUUUUUAUUUAUAAACUUCCCUCCGGAGACGGACGUCUCUGUUCGCUCCUGAUGUCCACGGAGCAGAAAGGUCUCGUAGUUUGUAGUGAGCAGAAGUGCGCUGGACAGCGACAGGCAGAGGAAGGAGGUCGAUCGGGGAGGGAACGUGAUACAACUGCAGCUGCUCUGCAGAGAUGAUGUUACGUUGUGCGGUUUUAAAUCUGUUCUGCCUGACUUAAAGUUUUUAAAUGCUUCGGCCCGGCUGCCAGAGUCUGAGGGUUCACCGGACCUCAGUGUCUCUGUCUGGGUCGAGGUCCGCCAGCAGCCCACGGUUCGUGUUCGGACAGACGGACGUGAACGUGUGUGCAGACGCUCGAUGCUUCCAACAUUUAAAGAAACCUGUGGCGACGUGUGUGUCAGCACUGAAAAGCAGAAGCGACCUGGACGAAUUAAAUCGUUGAAAGGAUGUUUUACUGGAAAAAGUCUCUGCUCACUGCAGACGUCUUCUCAUUCCUCAGCAGCGUUGUUAGGAAAAGACCAGCUGAACCAUGUUUGUCAGUAUCCAGUAGGUGAAGCUGCUUUUCCUCUCAGAAACACGUCUUUGUUUACACCAGACGCUUGGUUCGUCCCGCGCAGGUCCGAUAGCUGAUUAAAAAAGACUUUUCAGGUGGCGAGACGCAUACGUAACGCUUCCCCCAGGUGCAAGUAUGUCAGUAAGUCAGAGUUCAGACGCACGGCAGCCGGCCCAUUCAUCUACCUGCACGCUGCAACGUGACAUCAUCUGGCAGCGCGCCGUGUCGGCCAAUCACAGACGUGGAAGCGCUCGUUCCUGGUAGAUUGUUGUGUUUAGAUCGUGUCGUCUCACCAGCGGUGUAAUGCCCUGUUCACAGUAAACGGGCUGAAGAAGUCAGAGACGGACGUCUGUUAUUUCACAGAAAACUGAAUGAAGCUUCUGAGGACGUCUGUGUUUUAAAUGUGCUUUAGCUCUGACAAACGCUGAGGAGUCGAUAUUAGAGUUACAAAAAAUCCAAUAAUGAUAUAAAGGCACUUUAUGAGGAUUAGUUUAACAGUUAAUAAAUACUUCUAACACACUGUAAUGUAGUUAUAAACAGAGAUAGACGUUUGUUUAUUAAUGUACAGUAUGACAUAUUUAAUCUUGUUACAGCUGUGUUUUACUGUACUGCCCUUCACCUGUUCAUACAGCAGCCUCCCCUUAGUUAACAGAUAAACACUACAGAUCACCGCAGACAGAACUAAAGGAAACGUCGGCCUUGGUCCACACUGAAAUGCCUCAACGGCUCUGGGGUUGUUUCCCGCUGGAGUCGAGACUCUGCUGGUCUCCAGUCUGUACCGGAUCCUCAGUCUGACCCCGUCCCAGUUUGUGAAGGUCACCGCGGUGUCUCCGUCAGGGGAGACUCUGGUGAAUCCACCGAAACGAUUGAUUGAGCCGAGCCGUGACCGAGCCUCCUCAGAUCAAUAACUCGUUAGAGCAGCAGCAGCAGGAGGAGGAGGAGGAGGAGGAGGAGGAGGGUAAAACCC